GGAAUAGUCAACUGUUACUGCUUUGGGAAUAUAAGAUUUAAGGCACAGAGAAGACCUGACAUGGCUGACCCCAUGUACUGUCCAAAAGCAGAAGUGCUUCCCUGAACUAGUCUCCAAGCCAACAACCAGAGUUGAGUUUUAACAAUUAAAAUACAACCAAAUUCUACGGUAAA